rnacentral:rRNA from 1 species
UACGUAGGGUGCGAGCGUUGUUCGGAAUUACUGGGCGUAAAGGGCGCGUAGGCGGCCUGCUAAGUCGAACGUGAAAUCCCCGAGCUCAACUCGGGAACUGCGUCCGAUACUGGCAGGCUUGAAUCCGGGAGAGGGAUGCGGAAUUCCAGGUGUAGCGGUGAAAUGCGUAGAUAUCUGGAGGAACACCGGUGGCGAAGGCGGCAUCCUGGACCGGCAUUGACGCUGAGGCGCGAAAGCCAGGGGAGCAAACGGG